CACGUAGGGGGCGAGCGUUGUCCGGAUUUAUUGGGCGUAAAGAGCUCGUAGGCGGCUCAGUAAGUCGGGUGUGAAAACUCCAGGCUCAACCUGGAGACGCCACCUGAUACUGCUGUGGCUAGAGUCCGGUAGGGGAGCAUGGAAUUCCUGGUGUAGCGGUGAAAUGCGCAGAUAUCAGGAGGAACACCCGUGGCGAAAGCGGCUCUCUGGGACGGUACUGACGCUGAGACGCGAAAGCGUGGGGAGCAAACAGG
rnacentral:rRNA from 1 species